UACGAGGGGGGCGAGCGUUGUUCGGAAUUAUUGGGCGUAAAGGGCGCGUAGGCGGUCGGAUAAGUCUUGUGUGAAAUCUUCGGGCUCAACUCGAAGUCUGCACAGGAAACUAUCUGGCUUGAGUGUGGGAGAGGUGAGUGGAAUUCCUGGUGUAGCGGUGAAAUGCGUAGAUAUCAGGAGGAACACCUGUGGCGAAAGCGGCUCACUGGACCACAACUGACGCUGAGACGCGAAAGCGUGGGGAGCGAACAGG
rnacentral:rRNA from 1 species